AGUUUCAACUUAUACAACCACAGGUCGUAACUGAUUAAAAUAUUGCCCUAUACAGUUUUUGCUUUUACAGUAAAAUAUAUAUAUAUAUUAAAAAAAGAAGAGCUAUACAAUACGAGUAUCUACUCUCUCCAUGAACACUACUAGAAUUUCUUAAUGGUAAUUCCAAGUUUUCAUCCGUGAGCUACUCGUCUCCAUAGGAUGACUUUUGUACAUUUGUUGAUUUCCCUGCAGACACCAGAGAAAAAUUCUUCUUAAGAAAAAAGGAUGGUGUGGAACUUGAAGUUUUCAUAUUACAACUAAUUUUUAGUGUGCAAGUAAGCCGAUCUUAAUUG
rnacentral:misc_RNA from 1 species